CGGACUGUGUGGAGAUGUGGAGACCUCUCCUCCUCCUUCUCCUCGCGGCUUUGUUUACUCCGCUCUCUCCAAUCCGGGGCGCAUGCGGUCGUCUGACAUCAUCUCUCCCCGGUCCAAUCAGCGGAGCGAGAACAAGGAAAUCAAGCGAGGUGAUGCAACUGGGUGUGAGAGCAGACUCUCCACGAGCGCACUGUGCGCAAAGGCAGCACGCGAGGUCACCUGUUGUGCUGUUACCUGCUCGUCUCCAUGUCUGAGGAUGUGGGCAGUCACUGAAUCAUUGGAGGAAACUGACUCUGUCAACAACAAGUGUUGACAUUUGAGCUUCGGAGAUAAACCUCACAAGGGAUCAAACAAAAUGUGACCCCUUUGACUGAAAAAGACAGUGUGUGCGUAUGUGUGUGUGUGUGUGUCUGCAUGCUUGUUUGGGUAAAGACAUUUAAGUGACGCAAGUUUGCUGCCGACAGCCUUAAGUCGGAGGGCUAUGUUAUUGUCUGUGGGGUUUGGUUAUUUCCAGGUUGAGAAAAUAAUAAAGUGUUGAGCUGGAUAUAGACAUGCUCACUAGUUUCCCCUUUGCACCCAUAAAAAAAAAAAAAAAA